rnacentral:rRNA from 1 species
UACGUAGGGUGCAAGCGUUGUCCGGAAUUAUUGGGCGUAAAGAGCUCGUAGGCGGUCUGUCGCGUCGAAUGUGAAAACCCCGGGGCUCAACCCCGGGCCUGCAUUCGAUACGGGCAGACUAGAGUUCGGUAGGGGAGUCUGGAAUUCCUGGUGUAGCGGUGAAAUGCGCAGAUAUCAGGAGGAACACCGGUGGCGAAGGCGGGACUCUGGGCCGAUACUGACGCUGAGGAGCGAAAGCGUGGGGAGCGAACAGG